UUUAAUAUGAGUUUGAUCCUGGCUCAGAAUGAACGCUAUUAGUAUGCUUUACACAUGCGAGUUUUACAUUAUUUUUAUUAUAUUUAAUGUAGCGAACGGGUGAGUAAUGCGUAGGUAUAUUACCUUUUAAUUAAGUAUAAGAUAUUCAAUGAUUUUUUAAAAAUUUAUUGUUUAAUUUUAAUAUCAAUACUUUAAAUUAUUAAUUUAAUGUUAUAAGAUAAACCUGCGUAAGAUUAGGUAGUUGGUUGUGUAAAAGACAACCAAGCCUAUGAUCUUUAGUUGAUUUUAGAGGAUGAUCAACCACACUGGAACUGAGACAAGGUCCAGGCUAAAUUUUUUGGCCAGCAGUGAGGAAUAUUGGACAAUGAACGAAAGUUUGAUCCAGCAAUACUAAUUGAAUGAUGACGGCUUAUUGGUUGUAAAGUUCUUUCAUUAAAGUUGAUAAUGACAUUAUUUAAAGAAGAAGUCCCGGCUAAUCUCGUGCCAGCAGCCGCGGUAAUACGGGAGGGGCGAGCGUUAUUCGGAAUUAUUGGGCGUAAAGAGUUCGUAGACGGUAUUAUAAGUUAUUUGUUAAAUUUUAAAGUUAAUUUUAAACGAGCAUUUAAUACUAUUUUACUUGAGUUUGAAUUAGAAGAAUAGAAUUCCAUGUGGAGAAGUAAUAUUUGUAGAUAUAUGGAGGAAUACCAGAAGUGAAGACGAUUCUUUAUUAAAAACUGACGUUGAGGAACGAAAGUGUAGGUAGCAAACAGGAUUAGAGACCCUGGUAGUCUACACUGUAAACGAUGAGUGCUAAAAUUUAAUUUUUUUAGAUUUUAAGCUAACGCGUUAAGCACUCCGCCUGAGGAGUAUAAUCGCAAGGUUGGAACUCAAAGGAAUUGACGGGGGCUUACUAUAAGUGGUGGAGCAUGUGGUUUAAUGCGAUACUCCGCGCAAAACCUUACCAGUUCUUGACAUUUUAAAUAAAAUACAAUACUAAUAAUGUAUUUAUUAUCUUUUAUAUACAGGUGUUGCACGACUGUCGUCAGCUCGUGUCGUGAGAUUUUUGGUUCAUUCCUUUAACGAGCGCAACUCUUAUCUUUUAUUUUUUAUUCUUAAAUAAUUUUGAAUUUAAUUAAAAAAAAUAAAGAGACGGUCAACGAUAAGUUGAUGGAAGGUAAGAAUUAAGUCAAGUCACUGUGGCCUUUAUGAACUGGGCUACACACGUGCUACAAUGGAAAAUACAAAAUCAUAUUCUAAUUUUAACGUUAGGAUUUAUUUAAAAUUUUUCUUAGUUCGGAUUGUAAACUGAAACUCGUUUACAUGAAGUUGGAAUCACUAGUAAUCACAAAUCAGAAUGUUGUGGUGAAUAUAUGUCUUAGCCUUGUACACACCGCCCGUCACAUGCAGGAAGUUAAUUUUAUUUUAAGAUUUAACAAAAAAAUUUUUUAUUAUAAUAGAUUAUUUAUAUGUUAUUUCCAUUACAAAAUUAAUAACUUGGAUGAAGUCGUAACAAGGUAGCUGUACGGGAACGUGUAGCUGGAAAUAUUAGUGA
rnacentral:rRNA from 1 species